ACAACAGAGACUUUUGGAGAAGAGGAGUUGGAAAUUCUGCUGUGCAUUGCUACACAAAGGGAACCAGACUGACUUGCUUCAUUGUUGCCAAGGCCAACAUAUGGACCCUCACACAGGGAAACAGGGUGGAAUAGACCCUUCUUGGCCCUUCCAGCAACCCACCGGUUUAACCCCAGCCUGAUCAAUUCAGAACUUGGAAGUAGAACUCGGUACGAUUUCUGAUGGCCAUACAAUUUC